GCUAGGUGCGGUGGCACACACCUGUAAUUCCAGCAAUCUGGGAGGCUGAGGCAGGAGGAUGGCAAGUUGGAGGCCAGCCUCUGUAAUUUAACAAGUCUCUAAGCAACUCAGCAAGACCCUGUCUCUA
rnacentral:sRNA from 1 species